UACGUAGGGGGCAAGCGUUGUCCGGAAUCAUUGGGCGUAAAGAGCGUGUAGGCGGCCCGGUAAGUCCGCUGUGAAAGUCCAGGGCUCAACCCUGGGAUGCCGGUGGAUACUGUCGGGCUCGAGUCCGGAAGAGGAGUGUGGAAUUCCUGGUGUAGCGGUGAAAUGCGCAGAUAUCAGGAGGAACACCUGCGGCGAAGGCGGGUUGCUGGGCUGAGUGACUGACGCUGGAUGCGCGAAAGCCAGGGGAGCGAACGGGAUUAGACGUACC
rnacentral:rRNA from 1 species